UUUUAUCGUGAAUUAUUAAUAAUUCAUAUAAUUAAUACGAUGAAACAAUUUUAAUUUAAUAUAAAAAUUUAAGAUUUUCGAAAUACAAUUAAUAGAUUGUGAUUCAUCGAUUGAACGAUGAAUAUCAAUAGUUAACCUCGUCGAAAAUUUCCGUUUACGUAAUAAUAGAAUCAUUAUAUGCACAGAUGUAUUCUGUUUCUUUUUCUUUUUUUUUUUUUUUUUUUUUAGUUUUUACAGCGAGCACGAAAAGUUACGUAAAGAAGGCAGCGAGCCUCGAAGCGUGGAAAUAUUAAAAUUGAUGUCCACAUUAGAUUCAAAAUGAUUCAUGCAUUUCCUGACGAAUAAUUCGAGGUGGUUGUUCGCUUUUGUUGCGCAUGGGGACGAAAUGGUAUCCUUGGUAACUUUGGU